rnacentral:rRNA from 1 species
AGCGUAGGCGGUUUUUUAAGUGGGGUGUGAAAUCCCUGGGCUUAACCCAGGAAUUGCAUUCCAAACUGGAAGACUAGAGUGCAGGAGAGGAAAGUGGAAUUCCAAGUGUAGCGGUGAAAUGCGUAGAGAUUUGGAGGAACACCAGUGGCGAAGGCGACUUUCUGGACUGUAACUGACGCUGAUGCUCGAGAGCGUGGGGAGCAAACAGGAUUAGAUACCCUGGUAGUCCACGCUGUAAACGAUGAAUACUAGGUGUUGGGGGCGAAGCCCUCAGUGCCGCAGUUAACACAUUAAGUAUUCCGCCUGGGGAGUACGAUCGCAAGAUUAAA